rnacentral:rRNA from 1 species
AGCGAACGCUGGCGGAAUGCUUAACACAUGCAAGUCGCACGGGGGCUUCGGCCUUAGUGGCGGACGGGUGAGUAACGCGUAGGAAUGUGUCCGAGGGUGGGGGAUAACGUUGGGAAACUGACGCUAAUACCGCAUAUCCCCUGAGGGGGAAAGCAGAGAUGCGCCCACGGAGCAGCCUGCGUCCGAUUAGCUAGUUGGUUAGGUAAAGGCUGACCAAGGCGACGAUCGGUAGCUGGUCUGAGAGGAUGAUCAGCCACACUGGAACUGAGACACGGUCCAGACUCCUACGGGAGGCAGCAGUGGGGAAUAUUGGACAAUGGGCGCAAGCCUGAUCCAGCAAUUCCGCGUGGGUGAAGAAGGUCUUCGGAUUGUAAAGCCCUUUCGUUGGGGACGAUGAUGACGGUACCCAAAGAAGAAGCCCCGGCUAACUUCGUG